UAUAAACGUUUUUCGUUCAAUUAAAUACGGUUACCAUACAUAUCUAUCAGUUCUACUAAAUUAAUUGCUCAGCAGUUCGUGACCCCACAGCGGCGAAAGAGCGAAAGAAAUCGCAAGUGUGUGUGCAGGCCUACAAAUUUCGGAAGCAGGGGGCAGACUGAGAUUACAAUCAACGCACGCUUUGUUACGCAUUCCCUUGCACCGCUUUUAUUGUUGGCCGUCGAUUGUGGUGUCUGUUUAUGUGCUAGAGUGGGCCGGGAGAUAGGCCAAUUCACGUUUUGCUGGUUUCGGUCGGAGUUGAAAAUCUUUGACGCUAGGCUGUAUCCAUGCUGCAGCGCCGAACGUAAGGCGCGAGACGACGCAAAGAAGGAAAGUGAAAGAUCCUCCAUCAUCCACACAACAAACACAUUCAAUAAGACAGAAUGUUACGCAAUACGCCUUUCGCCGGCACGCCCACUUACAAAUUACUACUAGGCUUUGGCCUCUGCUCGCUGGGCAGCGCCAUGCUCUACGCCUACUUCAAGUCCCGCAAUGACGACAAGGAUGAAACGGGCACGAAGAAGCAAACAGAAGAUGGACAAGAACAAAUCCAGCAACAGAAACCACAGCAAAAGGAAAUCUGUCUCAAAAUCGUUGUGGACAAUGACCACGUACCGUUGAUAAUUGGACGCGGCGGCGCCAACAUUAAACUAAUUGAAGAAAAGACCGGGGCAAAGAUAAGAUUACGCGAUAAGGACAACUCCCACAAGUUCUGCGACAUAAACGGCUUGCCCGAUGCGGUUAAGGCGGCUCGUGUUAUGCUCAUCAAGGAGAUUGAGCGUGCACCCAUUGUCAAGAUGGAGCUGCAGGUGCCACAGCGGUUGGCCAACAGGAUCAGUGGACGUGGAGGCGAGAUAAUACAAGACAUUAGCCGAGCAUCAUUGGCUAAGCUCAGCAUCGAUCUAAAUGGACGCAAUGGCAAGGCCAAGAUCAGCAUUGUUGGCAACCAGAAGCAGGUGAACAUUGCCCGCAAGCUACUGGACGACCAGAUCGAGGAGGAUGAGCAGCUGCGACUGGCUGUCGAUGAGGUGGAACAGCAUCGCGAACCACGACGUUCGCCCAGCUACAGUCUCACCUCCAGCGUGUACUCUUCACAGACAUCCCUCAGCUCCCAGCCGCCGCGCGACAAGCUAAUGGCCUCUCGUGGAGAUGAGAAGCCCAUGGAGGUGUAUGUCUCGGCAGUUGCAUCGCCCACAAAGUUUUGGGUGCAGCUGGUGGGCCCGCAGUCCAAGAAGCUGGACGACAUGGUCAAGGAGAUGACCACCUACUACAGCAAUGCCGAGAAUCGCGCCAAGCACCAACUAACCACACCCUACAUUGGCCAGAUCGUGGCCGCCGUCUUUAAGUUCGAUGAGAAAUGGUAUCGCGCCGAGAUCGUGGACAUUAUGCCCAAUCAGUAUAAUCCCAAUGAGCAAGUCAUCGAUCUGUACUUUGUGGACUACGGUGACAGUGAAUACAUCUCUCCAGCAGAUAUUUGCGAGCUACGCACCGAUUUCCUAACCCUAAGGUUCCAGGCAGUUAAGUGUUUCUUGGCUAACGUGAAAUCAACUAUUCCAGAUGAACCUAACACUUGGCAGAAGGCAUCUAUAUCCAAGUUCGAGGAAUUCACAGAGGUUGCCCAUUGGCGCAAGCUGAUCGCACGGGUAGUUACUUACAAGGAGCGUCCGAAGGUGACGAGCGCCGCCAAUGCGUCCGCACGAGAUGGUACACCGCUGCCCGGCGUGGAACUGUUCGACCCCACCGAGGGGGCUGAGGUGAACAUUGGCGACAUGUUGAUAAUGCAGGGGUAUGCCCUGCCACUGGAUGAUGCAUAUCCGGUGAGAUCGCGCUCCACGUCUCCAUCGACUCAGAGUGAUUCCACCAUCGAGGAGCUGUGCUCCACAAAUACGCCCCGAACGCCGCUCACCCCAAUGUCGCCCAUGUCACUGUCAAUCACAAACGAUGUGGACAGUGUAGAGGAUGCACACUUUGCCAAUCAGCUGCAGCACUUGGGGCAGAAGCUGAACGGCAAUGACUUGACCCAUAUCAAUCCAGUUCAACUAACCACAGACGACAUAAAAAACAGAAAUGGAGAAGCCAUCAAGAGCACACACAGCGAUGUGGCUCGCUAAUGCAGAUUGGCACUUCUUAAUUCUCAAAAUUAGUCUAAGCUAAGCUCUCGCCUUAUGAUAAUUGUGGGUAGUCAUUGUAAAAAGGCAGCUCACUACCUGAUAUGUAUAUAAACCUAAAGAAAUUUAAAAGAAAAGGAGAAAAAAAAGGAAAACAAUACAAAACAAUUGUUUAGACUAUAAGUAAUUAAGAAAUGCCAUGUUACUUAGGCUGAAAUCAGAUGUAUCAGAUGUAAGUGGCUAAAUAAUUUUGUAAUUUACAUAAAUUGUACUGGAUUAUUGCAUUAUGCCAGAUAUCAGAGGCACGUCAGAGUCCAGCUUUAGCGUUAAAAUUCAAAAAUUGUACAUCAAGCCCAAAAUACAAUUCAAAAAACACUGUUGUACUUAA
rnacentral:misc_RNA from 1 species